ACUGAACCCCCACAUUUGACCUAUCCCCAGAUAGCUUGGAUCUGAACGCUCAAUAUAGCCGAACAGCGCUCAGAUCCCACGAUAGCAAGGGCCGAUGAGAGAUUGAGGAGGGACAAAGCAGCCAGUUUCAACUGGUCUGACAGUGUCCCUGGGACAACACCUUGCUGGAGAACAAUGGGACUGGUAACGGGGUAGGGAAAGAGGCACACCUUCCCAUGGAUUCAAAGGGGCAGAAAAAGUGUCCCAAAAUCCAAUAAGCCCAAACAGACUUUUAAAUGGCAAUACUUCCCAGGAGCCAUAGUCACAAGGGAAGAGGCUGGCAAUUAGUCCUCUCCAGGCAUAAGUGGCGAAGGACAC